AUGGCUCCAAUGUGCAUAUGUCGUUUUUCAGCAAAAUCUAAUAUUUAUGUCAUUUUCAGGGGAAGAACAUUUGCAGCCUUUGUAAUAUAUCACUUCUCAUCGUUUUGCUCCACGGCACAGGAUGGACACAUCGCUCAGAUGAGAAAAUGGAAUCUCAGAAAAGUUAGAGAAAACAACAAAUGCCAUAGAGCUGGCAAGAGUCAAAAGAAGAACCCUAGACCAGGCUGUUCUGAUCCCUGAGCUCGGCUUCUUAGGUUCACUCUGUCCUAUGAGACGCAUCUGGGAGUUUUAACAAGUCCUCAUCAACCCUUGCCCUGACUUUAUAUGCAGAGCACUCACCUAGAGACUGAUCCAUCUGCACUUCACCUUCCCCCUCCAAAACUAGGGAUAACAUUUAUCAAGUCAUCUGGGGUUGGCAAACACAAUUCUGUCCAAAUUUAUAGAAUUAAAUUUGUGAAAAUUAUUAGUGAACAAUUCUAGAAUGACCUAGAUUUCAUUCAUGACUUCUCAAUGCUAAAGGAUCAGAAUGAAAAAGAAAACAGAUCCAUUUUCUGGCUUAUGAUUGUUAGCAUAUGAAAAAUGGAGGCAUGCUCAGCUAAAAUUAAAAAAUCAAAUAAAAAUGUUUUUGUAACACUGUUAUAGCCAAAAAAACAGACAGAAGUACCUCAGUGGAACGUGACUUGAGCUGCCACCUUUGCUUCACUCUCUUCUUUAAAGCACUUACCAUUCACCACAGUGAUUAUUUAUUUAGAUGGUUUACAAAUCUCUACCACUCUCCUGAGGUCAAGGGCUCAGUUUAUAAAUCACGUUUUGUGCAUCUCUGUGUCCUAGCCCUGAGCACAGAGCAUGGUAUGGUGCUGAGCAGCUACUCAGCCCAGCAUUGUAUUAUGGGUCCCGUCUAACUUGUCCUAUGUGGAAGCAGAAAGACAAAAGGAUCUCUUCCUUUUAAGGUUUGACAUCCCCCAGUCCUGGGAAGAAAUUGAUAUAAGUGUUGUAUAGGAGGUAUUCACCCCCUCAGACUUACACUGCCUCUCACUGACCUGGAAGAAACAAAUCUUGAAAAAAAAAAAAAAAGCCGUGUGGACAUCAGCCUUUUGCAGUGACAGAUGAUAUUGUCAGAAACUUGAUAGGUAGCCUGAGCCACCAUGAAAAAGGAUCUAUACAUAAAAUACACAAAGAAAUAAGGGAGUACACCCCAGCAACAUUGAUAGAUUCCCCCAUUUCAAACAUGCCACCCCCAGUGUAUAUACCACAAGCACAAAGACCAAAGGAGAAUUCUUAUAAAGAGGGCUGAUGAACGCUUAUUAAGGCCUUGAAUGAGACAGUGAAUCCCGAGAACCAGAGGCUAAGUCUGUUGACUAACUCAGCAGAUGCAGGAAUAUGCCCAUAGCUCAAAAACGGCCUUGAUCCUCAGUGUCAGGGAACAGAUCCUGGUUGGCCUCGAAUAUGUGAUUAACCAUGUGGGCCUAACGAUUUCUGUACCCCUCGUAAGCCUGCAGGAUGAAACCGUAGUGUUUCCUAGAGGGGAAGGGGAAAAAGAAAGAAAGAAAUCCAUAAGAUAGCUGAAUCAUUCCUUUGAAAUACACUGGGUGCUCCUUAGCCAGACAGCAAUUUCAAAAACAAGGGUGCUUUAAGAAAAGAAAACCCUCUUUGAGUUCUUUGGUAUAGAAAUUACCACUUGUUGGUAAUGAAGAGAUGAAAAUCACGCUGUUCUUUAGGUCAAAGGAAACGACUUUUGAAAUUUCCUAGCAGUGCAUAAAGCAGCUUAGUAGCUUCUCACUUCCUCAGGAGGAGGUCCUCCACCCAGUGAAUGGCUUUUAACUCUCUGCUUAACAGCAUUGCCACCCAUUCACCCCUCACUGUCCUGAAUGAUGAGCCAGGUGAAGCCUUGCCAUCAGCAUCUCCCAGACUCCUUUACAUUCCAGGAAAAUUCUCAGCUGUCCAUCAAAACCAUAUCAGACGCAUCCUGCCCACAUCUCUUAAUCCAUAUAAUUUCUUGUCUCUUGGAGUUACUGUUUAGGCUCUGAAUCCUCUGGUGGGCUCCCCUGUGAUUUAAUUGUUCCCUCUGUGCAUUUAUUUAAUCAACCCAGUGAGAUAAGAAAAUCAAUAGCUGAUAUUUACUGAAUACUUAAUAUAUUUUGAGGCAUUAAGCUAAACAUUUUACAAGCACUAUCUCAUUUAUUCCUCACAACCAACCAUGUGGUAGCACCUGCUAUUAUAUCCAUGUGACAGAUGAGGAAAACCAAGGCACAGAAAGGUUGAGUGUCUUGCUCAAGGUCACACCACCAGGAAUGAAUCCAGGCCUGUCUGACCCCAGAUCCUGUAUAUUAUGCAUCGUAAUGAUCAUAGCCUAUAAUUCUCCUGGGUCUCCCACAGUCCUUUAUACUGUUGUACAUUUCAUUCAUUCUUAGAGAAACUUUAGAAUUUCCUAAAUUUCACUCAUGACUUCACAAUGCUAUUCACUUACUCAACAUUCAUUGAGAAUUUUCCAUGUACCAGGCACUGUGCUAGUUGCUGGCACAUGGAAAUAUGAUGUGAUAUGAUGAUGAACAAGACAUAGCCCCUGCCCUCCAGGAGCUCACAGUCACAGAGUAGGGGCUCAGUUACUAUUGGAACUAAAUGACCGUAACUAUCAGCCAAUUACUGGUGUCUUAACCAGGUAUGUGUGCAGUGGCCUCUUAGCUAAAGGAAGCAUUAAGAUGUAGGAAGACUACUGGACUGACAUGCAAGAGCGCUGAGGUUUCCCUUAACUGCCAAUAACAUGCUGUAUGACAUUCAGCAAAGGAUUCCUCAUCUAUCAGCUCACGUAUAAAAUUGAGAGGCUGGGCAGCAUCGGUGAAUUCACAACUUGUCCUACCAUCAGAAUCACCUGUUCAAUGAUUUUUUUUAUUGCCAAAUAAGUAUCUGGGGUAAUGGAUUAAGGAAUGAAUGACCGACUUGGUGGAUCUGUUGUGAGAUUUGUAACAACCAAGGCAGAAGGAGGCUCUCCUCAACCAUUGCCCCUUAAUGAUGUCCAGAUGAUCUUCAUUAUUCAUGGGUUUUAUAGAGAGAAAUUUGCUUACUCACUAAAAUGUAUUUGUAACUUCAAAAUCAAUACAGUGGCACUUUCACAGUCAUUCAAAGACAUGCCCAAAGUACAUGAUUGCAGCUGAGGUCAGACAAAGAGAUGCUCUUGGGACUCAGAACAUGAUGUGGCACGUUGGAGUGCUGAGUACUUUGAACAGAAGGACAUUGGAAGGGUCAGCAAGUUCUCUCUAACCUCCUGCCCUUCUUUCUUCCACCCCUCUUGUAAAUUACAUACAUCUCAGAGCCUCAGUUUCCUCAUAUAGAAUAUAGGGGUAAUAUCUUCUUUCAACAACUGUUAUGAAGAUUAAAUGGGAUUACAUUAUUCAAGUCCUCUGAGAAGCAGAUGCCAAGUCAGAAUUAAAGUACAAGAAUGUAUUAGGUUGAGGAGUGUUGCUUAAUGAAUAAAGAUUUUUCUGUUUGGGGUGAUGAAAAGAAUUUGGCAACAGACAGUGAUGAUGGCUAUAUGACAUUGUCAGUAUAACUAAAACACUGAAUUUUGCACUUAAAAU
ensembl:lncRNA